CCUACGGGUGGCAGCAGUGAGGAAUAUUGGUCAAUGGGCGAGAGCCUGAACCAGCCAAGUCGCGUGAGGGAGUACUGCCCUAUGGGUUGUAAACCUCUUUUGUCGGGGAGCAAAAGCCGGACGUGUCCGGCUGUGAGAGUACCCGAAGAAAAAGCAACGGCUAACUCCGUGCCCGCAGCCGCGGUAAUACGUAGGGGGCAAGCGUUAUCCGGAUUUACUGGGUGUAAAGGGAGCGUAGACGGUAUGGCAAGUCUGAAGUGAAAGGCCCGGGCUUAACCCUGGGACUGCGUUGGAAACUGUUAGACUAGAGUGCGGGAGAGGUAAGUGGAAUUCCUGGUGUAGCGGUGAAAUGCGUAGAUAUUAGGAGGAACACCAGUGGCGAAGGCGGCUUACGGGACAGUAACUGACGUUGAGGCUCGAAAGCGUGGGGAGCAAACAGGAUUAGAUACCCUAGUAGUC
rnacentral:rRNA from 1 species